AGUGAACGCUGGCGGCAGGCCUAAUACAUGCAAGUCGAACGGCAGCACAGCAGAGCUUGCUCUGUGGGUGGCGAGUGGCGGACGGGUGAGGAAUACGUGGGAAUCUGCCCAGUCGUGGGGAUAACGUAGGGAAACUUACGCUAAUACCGCAUGCGCCCUUCGGGGGAAAGCCGGGGACCUUCGGGCCUGGCGCGAUUGGAUGAGCCCACGUCGGAUUAGCUAGUUGGCGGGGUAAAGGCCCACCAAGGCGACGAUCCGUAGCUGGUCUGAGAGGAUGAUCAGCCACACUGGAACUGAGACACGGUCCAGACUCCUACGGGAGGCAGCAGUAGGGAAUAUUGGACAAUGGGCGCAAGCCUGAUCCAGCCAUGCCGCGUGAGUGAAGAAGGCCCUCGGGUUGUAAAGCUCUUUGUCCGGAAAGAAAGCGCCGGGUUAAUACCCUGGUGUCCUGACGGUACCGGAAGAAUAAGCACCGGCUAACUUCGUGCCAG
rnacentral:rRNA from 1 species